rnacentral:rRNA from 1 species
ACGGAGGGUGCAAGCGUUAUUCGGAAUUACUGGGCGUAAAGCGCGUGCAGGCGGGUAGGCAAGUCUGAUUUGAAAACCCGGGGCUUAACCCCGGGAGUGGAUUUGGAACUGCCUAGCUUGAGUAGUUGAGAGGAAAGGGGAAUUCCCGGUGUAGAGGUGAAAUGCGUAGAGAUCGGGAGGAAUACCAGUGGCGAAGGCGACCUUCUGGACGGUAGCUGACGCUGAGGCGCGAAAGCGUGGGGAGCAAACGG